rnacentral:rRNA from 1 species
ACGUAGGGUGCAAGCGUUAAUCGGAAUUACUGGGCGUAAAGCGUGCGCAGGCGGUUCUGUAAGACAGAUGUGAAAUCCCCAGGCUCAACCUGGGAAUUGCAUUUGUGACUGCAGGACUAGAGUUCAUCAGAGGGGGGUGGAAUUCCAAGUGUAGCAGUGAAAUGCGUAGAUAUUUGGAAGAACACCAAUGGCGAAGGCAGCCCCCUGGGAUGCGACUGACGCUCAUGCACGAAAGCGUGGGGAGCAAACAG